GUUCCUGUAGCGCAAUGGAUAGCGCGUUGGACUUCUAAUCCAAACAUCGAGGUUUCAUAUCCCAUGUGGAAUG